rnacentral:lncRNA from 10 species
CUCCUCUGGAUCUUUUCUGGUUCCUUCGCUCCUAGAACUGUGUCUGAUGGCUUAUGAAGGCAAAUGACAAAUGUUUGCCAUAUGCACAUGUAUGUGCAUGAAUGAAUACAUCCAGGUUCUGACUUCCUCGGGGCAACCUCUACUUUCUCAAUGCCCCUCUUAAGAUGGGGGUGGGGGAGGGUCCUCCUAGAACUGAACAUGAUAUUCCAGGUGUGAUCUAAUACAUUUAAAUGUCCAAAAGCUCUUUCUUCCCUAAACGUUCCUUUUUAAAAGCUACUGUUCUCAAUUAAUGGGUGUCUCAUCUUCUUAAGUAUAUUAAUAAGAGGUAUUUUGAUGUUUCCCUCCAUUCUGUGGAUUACCUCUUGAUUCUCUGGAUUCUUUGUGAUUCCGUUUUGUUUUAAGGAUGUUCUCAGGUGUCUGGUGAUCCUUGCUUAUAAGUCCAAAUUAAUGAUGAGGCACUAAAAUGCUGAUUGGAAGCUCUCUGUGCAGGCCUUCCUCACACCCAUGUCUUCAGAUACCCAAGGCCUUUAAUACCCAAGUCCUUCCAGGAUUCUGCACAUCUCAUUAGCUUCAUAUUCCCUCUAUUUGAAAAGUUCAUAUGGACCCAGCUCUGUCAUCAUCACAUGUUCUAUAUCCCCAAACCUUGUGACAUCUGCAAAGAAGUACAGAAGACCUCAAGAGAAGAUAAGCUAGAAUUUAUUUAUUUUUAUACCUUUUAUUCAGUUUUUAUUAAAGCUUUCCUACCUUUCCA